GUGGCUGGGAUUGUUGGCAGAGCCGACGUGUUAGCAUGUCUGCUGUUUCUGUUGGCCUUUCUCUCCUACAAUAGGAGUCUGGAUCAGUGCUGUGUUGGGGAGUGUUUCCCUCCCACGGCUUCUCCCUUCUUCCUGCUGCUCAGUUUGUUUCUGGGGACCUGCGCGAUGCUGGUGAAGGAGACGGGCAUCACAGUGUUUGGAGUGUGCUUGGUUUAUGACCUCUUUUCCCUCUCCCACAAGCAGGAUAAAGCGAGCAACGGGGCCCUCCAUCCGCACAGCGCACAGCAGCCCACGAGCCCCCAUCGGGAGAACGGGAAGCAGCAGCGGUUUUCUCACAGAGGAGCUUGGGGUGGCUGCCACUCCCCACUGCCACAAGAACCCAAGAGCAGUGGAUUCCCGAUGUCCCCGCGAGCUGUGAGGUCCCUGA